CAGGUGGUGCUAGGUGGUGCUAUGAAGUGUUAGGUGGUGCUAUGAAGUGUUAGGUGGUGCUAGGUGGUGCUAUGAAGUGUCAGGUGGUGCUAGGUGGUGCUAUGAAGUGUUAGGUGGUGCUAGGUGGUGCUAUGAAGUGUUAGGUGGUGCUAUGAAGUGCUAGGUGGUGCUAGGUGGUGCUAUGAAGUGCUAGGUGGUGCUAUGAAGUGCUAGGUGGUGCUAUGAAGUGUUAGGUGGUGCUAGGUGGUGUUAGGUGGUGCUAUGAAGUGUUAGGUGGUGCUAGGGGGUGUUAGGUGGUGCUAUGAAGUGUUAGGUGGUGCUAUGAAGUGCUAGGGUGUGCUAUGAAGUGUUAGGUGGUGCUUGGUGGUGUUAGGUGGUGCUAUGAAGUGUUAGGUGGUGCUAUGAAGUGUUAGGUGGUGCUAUGAAGUGUUAGGUGGUGCUAUGAAGUGUUAGGUGGUGCUAGGUGGUGCUAUGACGUGUUAGGUGGUGCUAUGAAGUGUUAGGUGGUGCUAUGAAGUGUUAGGUGGUGUUAGGUGGUGUUAGGUGGUGCUAUGAAGUGUUAGGUGGUGCUAGGUGGUGCUAUGAAGUGUUAGGUGGUGCUAUGAAGUGCUAGGUGGAGUUAG
ensembl:lncRNA